rnacentral:rRNA from 1 species
AGUGAACGCUGGCGGUAGGCCUAACACAUGCAAGUCGAACGGCAGCACAGAGGAGCUUGCUCCUUGGGUGGCGAGUGGCGGACGGGUGAGGAAUACAUCGGAAUCUACUCUGUCGUGGGGGAUAACGUAGGGAAACUUACGCUAAUACCGCAUACGACCUACGGGUGAAAGCAGGGGAUCUUCGGACCUUGCGCGAUUGAAUGAGCCGAUGUCGGAUUAGCUAGUUGGCGGGGUAAAGGCCCACCAAGGCGACGAUCCGUAGCUGGUCUGAGGGGAUAGUCAGCCCCCCUGGAACCUAGACACGGUCCAGACACUUCCGGGGGGCAGCAGUGGGGAAUAUUGGACAAUGGGCGCAAGCCUGAUCCAUCCAUACCGCGUGGGUGAAGAAGGCCUUCGGGUUGUAAAGCCCUUUUGUUGGGAAAGAAAUCCAUCUGGUUAAUACCCGGGUGGGAUGACGGUACCCAAAGAAUAAGCACCGGCUAACUUCGUGCCAGCCGCCGCCGUAA